rnacentral:rRNA from 1 species
UACGGAGGGUGCAAACGUUGCUCGGAAUCAUUGGGCGUAAAGCGCACGUAGGCGGCGCGUUAAGUCGGGUGUGAAAGCCCUGGGCUCAGCCCAGGAAGUGCAUUCGAAACUGGCGCGCUUGAAUAUGGAAGAGGGUCGCGGAAUUCCCGGUGUAGAGGUGAAAUUCGUAGAUAUCGGGAGGAACACCAGUGGCGAAGGCGACUACCUGGCCUGUUCUUGACGCUGAGGCGCGAAAGCUAGGGGAGCAAACGGG